CCUACGGGGUGCUGCAGUGAGGAAUAUUGGUCAAUGGGCGGGAGCCUGAAGCAGCCAAGUCGCGUGAGGGAAGACGGUCCUAUGGAUUGUAAACCUCUUUAGGCGGGGAGCAAUGCCGGGCACGCGUGCCCGGAGGGAGAGUACCCGCCGAAUAAGCAUCGGCUAACUCCGUGCCAGCAGCCGCGGUAAUACGGAGGAUGCGAGCGUUAUCCGGAUUUAGUGGGUGUAAGGGGUGCGUAGCCGGAUUUUUAAGUCAGCGGUAAAAUGUCGGGGCCCAACCCGGGCCGGCCGUUGAAACUGGGGAUCUUGAGUGCGCGAGAGGUAUGCGGAAUGCGUGGUGUAGCGGUGAAAUGCGUAGAUAUCACGCAGAACUCCGAUUGCGAAGGCAGCAUACCGGCGCCCGACUGACGCUGAGGCACGAAAGCGUGGGGAUCGAACAGGAUUAGAUACCCCAGUAGUC
rnacentral:rRNA from 1 species